UUGUUUGAUGUAAAAUUUGAUAAAAUUGACCAUUUUUUUAUUGAAAUUCGAGAAAUCUCGAAAAACGUUUUAAAACAAUGCGUUGUGUAGUGAAAUUUUGUGGCAGCAACCUGUAUUUGCCGAAAAGUGAUGAAGUUUCAUCGACACACAGAUUUCCCAUAAAUCCUGUUCAAGCGCAACAGUGGUGGACUGCUUUGGCUCCUUAUAUAGAACAGGAGGACAUGGAAAACGGAAAACUGAAUGGAAACAGUGUUCGAAUCUGUGCGGCCCAUUUAACAGAAUCAGAUUUUUCCUUCACCACAAAUGGCAAGCGAAAGUUACAGAGUAAUGCUAUCCCAGUGUGUUUCCGGAGCAGAAUGAAAAGAUUUUUAUCCGAAGAAAGAAUCUACCAUCUGGUCAUUGCUCUAGUGAUAUCCGGACACCGCUUAGAGAUAUUUGCAACUUAGUGCCGGUUGCCAUAGUUAAUCGACUGGAUGAUUGUUUACCACCCUCCAUGACAAUUGUGAAGCAAUCUGUAGAUCAGACUGACUGUUCCACAACAGAAGUGAAGAAGGUUCUGCCAUUGAAUAUUCCCUCCGCCGACACAUGUCUCGCCGUGGUUGGAUCAAGUAACGGAGAGCGCCGUCCAAAGUGAAAUGCAUUUAGUUCAUAAUGUUUAUUUUUAAGCAUUUUUAUAAAUAUUUUGUAGGCUAAGGUACGCAGGUGAUAUCAAAGAUAGUUCUAACUUAACACCGAUACAAGCCGUAGAAAUACUUCCUAAAGUAUGCAGGCAAUUAAAUAAUGCCAAAAACAGGAUUAAUACAUUGAAAGUUC